GGAAAGAGGGGCAGAGAUUCGGGCCCCUGCCCUCAAUCUGUCUUCAGGAUCCUGGAGAGAGAUUAAAGUUUAAAUAGCCGGCCAGGAAUGUACACAUCUGUGGUAACAAUCAAGGUGUCUGCUCUUCCGCUCUCACCCUGGAAGGUGGUCUGACAAGCUGGUGGAGCUGUGUGAAAUCUUUCCUGGAGACAAAUCCUUUCUUUAUCUAGCUCCUUCCCUUCUCCCAGCAUGAGAUUCCUGGAGAAAUUCCCAUUUCUUUGGAGUUCAUUGUUUCAAUAGUGUGAGUCAGAUUGAGAGACAUUAGUGUCCCUUUAGAAUACCUUUAUCUCUGCCAGUCUUGUGCAGCUGAAGAAGGCCUAUCACUCCUUAUCCCCCUGCCUCUGUCUCUCAAGAGUAGCAGUAGGCUUAUAGGUGUGGGUAGUCGUUUAUCCAUUUCUAAAAAUAACUAUCAUUGCUAGGCAUGGUGGUAUACACCUUUAAUCCCAGCACUCCAGAGGUAGAGGCAGAGAACAUCUCUGUGUUUGAGCCCAGUCUGGUUUACAUAGUGAGUUCUAGGUCAGCCAGAGCUACAGAGAAACCCUGUCU
rnacentral:lncRNA from 1 species